GGAUAUAGUCUUGUUUGCACAAUGUUUUGUCAUUGAUUUCUUUGAGAGUGGCUGCCGCCCACUCUUGUCUGCCAGAUUCUCUCUGCUAGUUUGUACUUUGAUCAUUUGUAUGCAAAGCAUGAUUUUAUAGUACACUACUUGCCGACUUCAAUCAAUUCAGAGGCAAUGAGUUUACAAGUAAAAGAUAAAGGAUACGUUGACUUAUGGACAGAAAAAAAAUAGUUCACUAAGGUAAAUCUGGAGCAGUACACUCAUAUCAGACGGAAACAGCAUGCCUUGAGGCUAGGGGCCUCCUUUUUAUCACUGUCUCAUUUAAACUCCCCAACCAUCGCUGCUACUGGCCAUCACAAACACUCACAAGUGCACCAUCCCUUGGCAGCUUGGAGCUAAGCGCUUCUCUAACCUGUCAAUCAGGUGGUCACUCAUUGAGAUUCAGAGGAGAGAAAUUCAAUCAAUAAAGCUGCACUGGACCGUCAUGGCAGACUUUUCACGCCCGAAAGAACUUGACCUGUUAAUGGCAACAGGAGGAGCAGUCAGUGAGGAACAGGACUUUGCUUUUACAGUGAAGGCGAGCAGGACGGCUGCAGAUGCUCUACAGGACACAUGAGGGAACGUGCCUGCUCUUCAUCUGGUUUCUGGGCGCCUGGGGUCCACGCGCCACCAGAGGUAGGAUUACGCUGUGUUGGUGUCAACUUAAGCAAACUAAAACUCUCGAAAGAAAGUGCAACUUUCUG